AUUGAACGCUGGCGGCAGGCCUAACACAUGCAAGUCGAGCGGAUGAAGGGAGCUUGCUCCUGGAUUCAGCGGCGGACGGGUGAGUAAUGCCUAGGAAUCUGCCUGGUAGUGGGGGAUAACGUCCGGAAACGGGCGCUAAUACCGCAUACGUCCUGAGGGAGAAAGUGGGGGAUCUUCGGACCUCACGCUAUCAGAUGAGCCUAGGUCGGAUUAGCUAGUUGGUGGGGUAAAGGCCUACCAAGGCGACGAUCCGUAACUGGUCUGAGAGGACGAUCAGUCACACUGGAACUGAGGCACGGUCCAGACUCCUACGGGAGGCAGCAGUGGGGAAUAUUGGACAAUGGGCGAAAGCCUGAUCCAGCCAUGCCGCGUGUGUGAAGAAGGUCUUCGGAUUGUAAAGCACUUUAAGUUGGGAGGAAGGGCAGUAAGUUAAUACCUUGCUGUUUUGACGUUACCAACAGAAUAAGCACCGGCUAACUUCGUG
rnacentral:rRNA from 1 species